rnacentral:rRNA from 1 species
CGCAUCUGUGCAUGCAGCAUAUCAAUAAGCGGAGGAAAAGAAACUAACAAGGAUUCCCCUAGUAACGGCGAGUGAAGCGGGAAGAGCUCAAAUUUGAAAUCUUAAAGGGUUUCCCUUUACGAAUUGUAGUUUAAAGAAGUGUUUUCUGUUGAGGUUUAGGUAAAAGUUCUUUGGAAUAGGACAUCAUAGAGGGUGAGAAUCCCGUAUUUGACCUUUACUUUCAACUUUGUGAUACACUUUCAAAGAGUCGGAUUGUUUGGGAAUGCAGUCCAAAAUGGGUGGUAAAUUUCAUCUAAAGCUAAAUAUUGGCGAGAGACCGAUAGCGAACAAGUACCGUGAGGGAAAGAUGAAAAGAACUUUGAAAAGAGAGUUAAACAGUACGUGAAAUUGUCAAAAGGGAAGCGUUUGACACCAGUGUUGUUUUUCUGAAAAUCAAUUAAAGAACUGUUUAUGCUAAGCUGUUUAGACUUUAUCAGCUAUCUGUUUAGUUUUGAGCUUUUCUUUAAUGCACUUUUCAGUUAACAAGUCAACAUCAAUUUCUUUUGCUGUAAAAAAGCUUGAGGAAGGUGGCUUGAGAUUCGUCUUAAGUGUUUAUAGCCUCUUGCCUAUGCAGUCGGAGAGAUUGAGGUCUGCAGCGUAGAUCCUUCGGGGCUAAAUGCAUUUGUGCUAAGUUAUAGCAUUUUAUAGACAACUUGUUGACUAUGAUUUGUCUUGUAGCUUACUCGCUUAUGUUAUUUUACCUACGCUUAGGAUGUUGAGUCGUAGAGCACGCAG